UCUCCCAGACUUGAAAAGGACUAUAUCAAAAAGACACUGAAAUAGUUUGGUACAUUGAAUUCAGAUAGAAAAAGCGAUUUUAUAACUUUUCAUCUUUUAUCUCUUAAUGAUGGAUUCAAAGGAAAAGAGGAUGGAUGUCGGACGGAUCGUAUCAAUUUCCCUGAUUUUAAUAGUUUUUUUUACAGUUGCGUCAUCUUCAACAACUGCUGCCCCCACAACUCCUGCACCAACGACUGCUUCACCUACAACUGCAUCACCUACGACAGCAGCACCUACUACUGUUGCAACAACAACAGCAGCACCUACA